rnacentral:lncRNA from 1 species
GGAAACCGGGAACAGGGAUAAUGUUUGAAAUGUAAAUUUAAAAAAAUGUCCAAUAAACGAAAAUUUAAAAAAAAGACUAAUAUAGGCAUGGUAGCUAACAAUUCAUAAGCAUUUGCAGGAGAGCUAUAUGUCAAUGAGUACUAAGUCCAAUUUUCUGAGGAAACACCAGACUGAUUUCCAGAGUGGUUGUACCAGCUUGCAAUCCCACAAAAAAUGGAGGUGUGUUCCUCUUUCUCCAAAUUUUUGCCAGCAUCUGAGUUUGCUGAGUUUAUUAUCUUAGCAAUUCUGACUGGUGUGAGGUAGAUUCUCAGGGUUCUUUUGAUUUCCAUUUCCCGGAUGACUAAGAAUGUUGAACAUUCUUUAGGUGCUUCUUGGCCAUUCAAUAUUCUUCAGUUAAGAAUACUUUGUUUACUUUAUCCAAUUUUUAUUAGGGUUAUUUGACUCUCUGGAGGCUAACUUCUUGAGUUCUUUGUAUAAAUUGGAUAUUAGCCCUCUAUUGAAUGUAGGAUUGGUAAAGAUCUUUCCCAAUCUGUUGGUUGACAUUUUGUCUUAGUGACAGUGUCUUUUGCCUUAUAAAAGCUUUGCAAUUUUAUGAGGUCCCAUUUGUUGAUUCUUGGUCUUAGAGCAUAAGACAUUGGUGUUUUCUUCAGGAAACUUUUUCCUGUGCCCAUGUGUUCAAGGAUCUUCCCCACUAUCUCUUCUAAUAUUUUCUGUGUAUCUGGUUUUAUGUGGAGGUCCUUGAUCCACUUGGGCUUGAGCUUUGUACAGAGAGACAAGAAUGGUUUGAUUUGCAUUCUUCUAGUAUUAUUUCAUAUUUGACUUUGUUUUACAUAUCUAAUUCUUCUUAAGCUUUCCAUAAACAUGGUCUCACAUAUAAUUUAUAUUUUAUGUGUCAAAGUUACAGAUAUAACAUAUGAUGCAUAGAAGAUAAUGCAACUGGUUGGUUCUUACUAACAUGUAGAAGACACAUUGUGACAGAGAAGAUACAGUAGGCCAAGAUCAGCUGACAAUACAAAACAAAACAUCAACAACAGUAACCACAAAUACUUGUUUGAGUCCAUGUCUAAAAUACAAGGAAAAGAAAAGGAAAGAAAAGCAGAGCAUUUUGGACAUGGAAUGAAAUAGAUUCCUGGUGCUUUCUGAACAGCCAAUGCAGCCUACUAUGCAAAUUCCAGGCCAGUAGGAGAGCUUGACUCAAAAUAACAAAAUAAAAAAUACAUAUAAGCUGAGUGUGGUGACGCAAGCCUUUAAUUCCAGCACUUGGGAGGCAGAGGCAGACAAAUUUCUGAGUCCGAGGUCAGCCUGGUCUACAGAGUAAGUUCCAGGACAGCCAGGGCUACACAGAGAAACCCUGCCUCAAACAAACAAACAAACAAACAAACAGACAAAAUAAAAAACAAAAAAGGAAACAAAGAAACAAGUAAAUAAAUAGUGAAUGAUGCCUAAGUGGUGAUACCUAAGCUUGAUUUCUGGCCCUCACAUGUAGUACACAUACACACACACACACACUCACAUUCACAGAGAUACCAAAAAAAUCCUACACAUAUUCUAAUGCCCACACAUUUUAACAUGCACAAGUAUAUUUAUUCAUAUGCCCAGAAUUAUAUACACAUAAAAAUAAAAUUCAUAAUAUGUGUUGAAAUAAAAAUGUCCAUUGAACUAGCAUCUCAAAAAAUCUGUUUUGUCUACCAGUCAAUAUUAUCCAUUUUCCACCUCACCUUUUCAUAUAAAAGACUUCCACUGCUACAUAUGGACCUUUCCUUUUGUUCAAGGUUACCUGGAGAAAUGCAUGUGAUGGUUUUCCUAAACUGAUUGCAAUGUGACACUUACCUCAGUCAACACACAUUCUCUCCCACAGGUUAGCUUUAGUUUCUCUGUCCUAGCCUAAUUACCAUGAACUUCCUAUAAACUCCCAAAUCCUGGGGCUAGAUUGUUCAGCCUUUAACCUCACAAGCUAUUCUUGCAGAGGAACAGGAUUCAAUUCCCAGAAUCUACAUAAAGUCUUACAUCUAUCAUAACUCCAGUAUCUGAGUAUCUUUUGCUCUCUUCUGUUCUCUUCAGAUAUUGUAUGAAUAUGGUACACAUGCACAAGCAUACAAAACAUCUACAGACAUAAAUAACGAAUAAAUCACUCCCAAAGCUUGAAUAAUAAAUACAUAGCUACAUCUUUAAUCCCCUAUGUAUGUUUUAUCUUAUUAUUAUUUAUUUUUCUUUUCAUUAAAGUUCAUGCAAAUCUAAUAAAAUGACAAGCAUUCCUGAUUUUUGAAGGCAACAGCUAAUGUUGUCCUUUGAUGCCCACAUUCAUAAGCAUUCAGCAACACUAUAUAUAUGUAACUAUAAACUUACAUAUGUGCACUGAAAAGACACAUAUUCACAUGAAAUGACACAUAAAAACACCAAAUAUUUCAUGACAGUUUAAUAUUUGAAACUAAAAGUGCAUCAAAACAGUGUGGUUAACAUGUUUUGUUCUACUCUGUAGGUGAAGAAGUAAGUAAGUUUAGGGAGCCUAAAGAGAGUGCUCAAAUCCACAUAGAUGUUAUGUGGUUGGCUUGAAAUUUAAGAUUGAUGAUGCAUCAUUAACCAAUAAAAUGUACUGGACCCCAGCUUGGCUAUUACCUCUCAACAGAUUCCAAAUGUCAUUCCUGGUUGAUUAGCGAAAAUUGUCUUUACUUCAACAAAAUUGUUUUUCUUUUCUUUUCUGUUUUUUUAUUAGAUAUUUUCUUUAUUUACAUUUCAAAUUAUUAUUUAUCUUUAUUUAAAUUUCAAAUGUUAUCCCCUUUCCUAGUUUCCUCUCUGAAAACCCCCUAUCCUCUUGCCCCUCACCCUACUCUCCAACCCUCCCACUCCUGCUUCCUGGCCCUGGCAUUCCCCUAUACUGGGGCAUAGGACCUUCCAAAGACCAAGGGCCUUUCUUCUCGUUGAUGACCGACUAGGCCGUCCUCUGCUACAUAUGCAGCUAGAGUCAUGAAUCCCACAAUGUGUUUUCUUUGUUUGGUGGUUUAGUCCCAGGGAGCUCUGGGGGUACUGGUUAGUUCAUAUUGCUGUUCCUCCUAUAGGGCUGUAAACCCCUUCAGCUCCUUGGAUACUUUCUUUAGCUCCUUCUUCUGGGACCCUGAGCUCUGUUCAAUGGAUGACUGUAAGCAUCCACUUCUGUAUCUGCCAAGCACUGACAGAGCCUCUCAGGAGACAGCUAUAUCAGGCUUCUACAAAAAUUGUUGAGUGACAGUUAUAAAGUAGGACUUACUUUUAGGGAAAGCAACAUAUAAAUGCUCUGGGUAAGUCAUGGCUAUUUUACUACUAGAAGGAUUAGAGUCUCACCAUCUCCUGGCCUUUUAAAAAUGUAUAGGCCUUUAAAUAUUUUUCCAUUAAGAAAGGCUAUUCAGCAGUGCUAGAGCAUAGAGUAACAUAAUAUUUGUAAUCAUCUUAUAUCCCAAUGCUAUUUGAUAAAGCACGGUACGUUAACAAAUAUUAUCAAUAGUCACCUUUCUUUGCAGUCUUUACCAAAACUGGAACAAUCCUUGUGACAUGCAUUAUAUGUUUGUGAAUUACAUUAGCUAUUUGUCUUCCUGACAAAAAGGACUGGAGCAAUUGCCCUGUAAAGAGCACUUGUUGCUCUUUCAGAUAACUCAGGAGGUGGUGCAUGUCAUUGGUACUCUAUUUCCAGGGGCUAUGGUACCCUCUUCUGAUCCCCAAAGGCACCAGCCACAAACAUGGUGUACAUAAAUACAUUCAGGCAAAAUACUCAUAGACAUAAGAAAG